rnacentral:rRNA from 1 species
UAGGGAAUCUUCGGCAAUGGGGGCAACCCUGACCGAGCAACGCCGCGUGAGUGAAGAAGGUUUUCGGAUCGUAAAGCUCUGUUGUAAGAGAAGAACGUGUGUGAGAGUGGAAAGUUCACACAGUGACGGUAACUUACCAGAAAGGGACGGCUAACUACGUGCCAGCAGCCGCGGUAAUACGUAGGUCCCGAGCGUUGUCCGGAUUUAUUGGGCGUAAAGCGAGCGCAGGCGGUUUAAUAAGUCUGAAGUUAAAGGCAGUGGCUUAACCAGUGUUCGCAUUGGAAACUGUUAAACUUGAGUGCAGAAGGGGAGAGUGGAAUUCCAUGUGUAGCGGUGAAAUGCGUAGAUAUAUGGAGGAACACCGGUGGCGAAAGCGGCUCUCUGGUCUGUAACUGACGCUGAGGCUCGAAAGCGUGGGGAGCAAACAGG